GAUGAAGAACGCAGCGAAAUGCGAUAAGUAAUGUGAAUUGCAGAAUUCAGUGAAUCAUCGAAUCUUUGAACGCACCUUGCGCUCCUUGGUAUUCCGAGGAGCAUGCCUGUUUGAGUGUCAUUAAAUUCUCAACCUCACCCGUUUUCUGAACGGUUCUCCG
rnacentral:rRNA from 2 species